rnacentral:rRNA from 1 species
UACGUAGGGUGCAAGCGUUGUCCGGAAUUAUUGGGCGUAAAGAGCUCGUAGGCGGUCUGUCGCGUCGAAUGUGAAAACCCGGGGCUCAACCCCGGGCCUGCAUUCGAUACGGGCAGACUAGAGUUCGGUAGGGGAGUCUGGAAUUCCUGGUGUAGCGGUGAAAUGCGCAGAUAUCAGGAGGAACACCAGUGGCGAAGGCGAGUCCCUGGACAAAACCUGACACUGAGGCACGAAAGCUAGGGGAGCAAACAGG